GACGAACGCUGGCGGCGUGCUUAACACAUGCAAGUCGAACGGGUCUGCCCUGUUUUUUGCGGGGUGGGUCAGUGGCGAACGGGUGAGUAACACGUGAGUAACCUGCCCCUCACUUCUGGAUAACCGCUUGAAAGGGUGGCUAAUACGGGGUGUUCUGGCUGUGCCGCAUGGUGUGGCUGGGAAAGAUUCACUUUUGUGGUGUUUUGGUGGGGGAUGGGCUCGCGGCCUAUCAGCUUGUUGGUGGGGUGAUGGCCUGCCAAGGCUUUGACGGGUAGCCGGCCUGAGAGGGUGGGCGGUCACACUGGGGCUGAGAUACGGCCCAGACUCCUGCGGGAGGCAGCAGUGGGGGGUAGUGCACAAUGGGCGGAAGCCUGAUGCAGCGACGUCGCGUGAGGGAUGGAGGCCUGCGGGUUGUGAACCUCUUUCGCCGGUGAAGAAGGUCCUGCUCUUUGUGGUGGGGUUGACGGUAGCCGGGUUAUGAAGCGCCGGCUAACUACGUG
rnacentral:rRNA from 1 species